UACGUAGGGUGCGAGCGUUGUCCGGAAUUAUUGGGCGUAAAGAGCUCGUAGGCGGUCCGUCGCGUCGAAUGUGAAAACCCGGGGCUCAACCCCGGGCCUGCAUUCGAUACGGGCGGACUAGAGUUCGGUAGGGGAGACUGGAAUUCCUGGUGUAGCGGUGAAAUGCGCAGAUAUCAGGAGGAACACCGGUGGCGAAGGCGGAUCUCUGGGCCGAUACUGACGCUGAGGAGCGAAAGCGUGGGGAGCAAACAGG
rnacentral:rRNA from 1 species